UACGGAGGAGGCAAGCGUUAUCCGGAAUUAUUGGGCGUAAAGCGUCCGCAGGUGGCACUUCAAGUCUGCUGUCAAAGACCGGGGCUUAACUUCGGAAAGGCAGUGGAAACUGAACAGCUAGAGUAUGGUAGGGGCAGAGGGAAUUCCUGGUGUAGCGGCGAAAUGCGUAGAGAUCAGGAAGAACAUCGGUGGCGAAGGCGCUCUGCUGGACCAUAACUGACACUCAGGGACGAAAGCUAGGGGAGCGAAUGGG
rnacentral:rRNA from 1 species